GCAGCAGCCGCGGGAAUACAGAGGGUGCGAGCGUUAAUCGGAUUUACUGGGCGUAAAGCGUGCGUAGGCGGCUAAUUGAGUCGGAUGUGAAAUCCCCGAGCUUAACUUGGGAAUUGCAUUCGAUACUGGUUAGCUAGAGUGUGGGAGAGGAUGGUAGAAUUCCAGGUGUAGCGGUGAAAUGCGUAGAGAUCUGGAGGAAUACCGAUGGCGAAGGCAGCCAUCUGGCCUAACACUGACGCUGAGGUACGAAAGCAUGGGGAGCAAACAGGAUUAGAUACCCCUGUAGUCCCUGUCUCUUAUAA
rnacentral:rRNA from 1 species